rnacentral:sRNA from 1 species
GGUCCUGUCUCCAGCGGGAGCGCGAGACGCUGGUCAGGCUCCGCGGCGCAGCUCGAAAAGGAAUAAUCGCCCCCGAUUGACUGAAAUUCCUCCGGAGCCGGCGCCGCGGCCGCCCGCGCCCGAGACCGCGCUCCGGGGCCGCGUCCUCCUCUCCUUCGGAAAACGCUCGCGACCCAGGGCCGCCGGCGGCCGCGACUCUGCUGUGUCGAUCGCCUGAGUCCGUUUUCACCGUUUGCGGGAUCUGGAACCGAGUUACAUGCAUGUCCAGUGGGGGCAGGUUUAAUUUUGACGACGGAGGGUCCUACUGUGGAGGCUGGGAGGACGGCAAGGCGCACGGCCAUGGCGUCUGCACCGGCCCCAAGGGCCAAGGCGAAUACACCGGCUCGUGGAGCCACGGCUUCGAGGUGCUGGGCGUCUACACCUGGCCCAGCGGCAACACGUACCAGGGCACCUGGGCGCAGGGCAAGCGCCACGGCAUCGGCCUGGAGAGCAAGGGGAAGUGGGUGUACAAGGGCGAGUGGACGCACGGAUUCAAGGGGCGCUACGGGGUGCGGGAGUGCGCGGGCAACGGGGCCAAAUACGAAGGGACCUGGAGCAACGGGCUGCAGGACGGCUACGGGACCGAGACCUACUCGGACGGAGAUGCCACCACAUUCGGGGCAGAGCCGGGGCCGGAAGCCAGGGAGCUGCCUGCUGCUGCUGCUGUUGCUGCUGCUGCUGUAAGAUGGUUUCUGUGCAGGGAGCCCUGGCCGGCUCUGCAGCUGCCCGCCUGCCGGACUCUCCGAUAUCCACUCCUCCGUGCACCUGACGCGCACGGAGCCGGUCCUUUCCUGGAAGCCAGACCCCAAACAAACUGGCUUCCCCGACCAGUCCACUCCCAUGUGGGAGCUCAUCCUCAGAGGCACUGGGUCGCCUGCCUCCCUCAGGCGCCUCGCCUGUUUCAGGCAUGGAUGCCUGGGAAGGGAGUGAGACGCAGCAAUGACUUGUGCUUCUGCCGGGAAUAAAAAUCCUGAGCGU